rnacentral:rRNA from 1 species
CACGUAGGGCGCGAGCGUUGUCCGGAAUUAUUGGGCGUAAAAGAGCUCGUAGGCGGCCUGUUGCGUCCGCUGUGAAAGCCCCGGGGCUUAACCCCGGGGUCGGCAGUGGAUACGGGGCAGGCUAGAGGUAGGUAGGGGGAGAAUGGAAUUCCCCGGUGUAGCGGUGAAAUGCGCAGAUAUCGGGAGGAACACCAAUGGCGAAGGCAGCUCGCUGGGACGGUACUGACGCUGAGACGCGAAAAGCGUGGGGGAGCAAACAGG